GGGGGUGUAGCUCAGUGGAAGAGCGAUCGCUUCGCAAGCGAUAGGCCACGGGUUCAAGCCCCGGCAUCUCCA